CAUGGUCGGAUAAUUUGACAAACCAAACCAUAUCCAAACCGAAAUCAUUUAAUUGGAUUUGGAUUCAUAACCAUAACCAUAUUUUAUUAUAAACCGGUUAUAAAACUGGUUAUAAAUUUGGUUAUGGAUAUAUAACCAGUUAUUUUAACCAAACCAAAUUUAAAAGUGGUCAUUUUUUAAAUCCAGUUUUUAACCGGUUAUUUCUAAAUCUGAUAAAAAAAAUCAGUUAUUUCAUUUUAAAAACUGGUUUUAAGACAAUUUAAAAAAAUCUUUUUUUUUUUAAAAUAAUCUAAAUUUAGUAAAACUUGCAUAAAAAAAAUAGUAAAGAAAUCAGAAUUUUAUACAUAGAAUAAAUUCCUAUAUUUUAUUUGGAUAAUGUAAUUGAAUUUCCUUCAUUUAAUUUUAUUUAUUUUAAUAAAAUCGACCAUAAACCCAAAAAUUGACCGAAAAACCGAAAAAAUCGGCAGAAAAACCUAAAAUCGGCUGAAAAAUCUAAAAUCGACCAAAAGCCCUAAAAUCGACUAUAAACUCUAAAAUCGGCUGAAAACCCAAAAAAUUAAUCGAAAACCCAAAAAUCGACCCUAAACCCAAAAAAUCGGCCGAAAAACCUAAAAUCGGCAAAAAACCCAAAAAUCGACUAUAAACCCUAAAAUCGACCAAAAAACGAAAAAUCGACCGAAAAACGAAAAAUCAACCGAAAAACAAAAAAAUCGACUAUAAACCCUAAUAUCAACCGAAAAAUGGGUUUAUAGUCGAUUUUAGGUUUUUCGGCCGAUUUUGAGGUUUAUAGCCAAUUUCAGGAUUUUGGGUCGAUUUUAGGUUUUCGGCCGAGUUUUUUGGGUUUAGGGACGNNNNNNNNNNNNNNNNNNNNNNNNUAGUCGAUUUUUGGAAUUUUGGCCAAUUUUAGGUUUUUCUGCCGAUUUUUCGGGUUGCCGUCCGAUUUUAGGGUUUAUAGUCGAUUUUUUGGAUUUGGGUCGAUUUUAGGUUUUCGGCCAAUUUUUUGGGUUUUCGGUCGAUUUUUGGUUUUUCGGACGAUUUUUUGGGUUUUCGGCCGAUUUUAGGGUUUAUAGUCGAUUUUUGGAAUUUUGACCGAUUUUAGGUUUUUCUGCCGAUUUUUCGGGUUGCCGGCCAAUUUUAGGGUUUAUAGUCGAUUUUUUGGAUUUUGGCCGAUUUUAGGUUUUCGGCCGAUUUUUUGGGUUUUUCGGUCGAUUUUUGGUUUUUCGGCCGAUUUUUUGGGUUUUCAUCCGAUUUUAGGGAUUAUAGUCAAUUUUUGAAAUUUUGGCCGAUUUUAAGUUUUUCGGCAAUUUUUUGGGAUUUUUGGCCGAUUUUAGGGUUUAUAGUCGAUUUUUUGGCUUUUGGCCAAUUUUAGGUUUUUUCUGCCGAUUUUUCGGGUUGCCGGCCGAUUUUAGGUUUUUAUAGGAUAAUUAGCGUAAAAAAAAUAGUCAAAAGUUUCAUAUCAAAAAAAUGAAGAAAUGCGAAAAAAGUCUAAUCCAAUGGAUUUGGACAUGGAUAUGGACAUUUAAUUAAAAAACCGGAUUUACAUAAUGGAUACCCAACCAUUUUUAGAAUGGUCUGGUUAAUAUCUGUUUCCAAAUAACUGGUUAUUUGGAGUUGGUUUUGGAUUUGGAUAUAGUCAUAUCCAUAUGACCGGAUAUUUUGCACACCCCUAACUA
rnacentral:lncRNA from 1 species